AAAAAAAAAAAAAACAAACAACAAACAUUUUUUUUAAAGGCAGCUGAACAGAAGCAGAGUGAAGAAAACAGGUCUAAGAGUUGCAUAGUGAUAACACUUCAUAUAUGUUCGUGCGAAGCUUGACUCUCAAACAGGUGGAAUGCUCCAAGGCUCCGUGGGAUCUUCCAGGGCACUACAAUACAACAGUACCCCCAGCCACUCUGAGCCUUAGCUAACCUUAGCUCAAGUGACUAUGCUAAGGUACUUCUGGAUCAAAUAAGCAAAAAUAAAAUUAUUACAGGUAUGUGCCCAAGGGAAGGAAACCAGCAUGGUUAUGAGACAUUUACUGCCCAUGUAAAAUGAAGCAUGGUUCACAGCAGCCAGAUAUGGAAACAACCUAGGUGUCUGUUGAUUAGUGAACGGAUGCAGAAAAUGUGGAGUAUAUACUUAUAUGUGUAAAGGAAUACUAUUAAGUCAAAAAGAAGAAAAUCUUACCAUUUGACACAACAUGUAUGAACCUGGAGGACGUUAUGCUGAGUGAAAUAAACCAACACAAAAAAAACC